rnacentral:tRNA from 1 species
GCUGGAGUGGCGGAAUUGGUAGACGCGCUAGGUUUAGGCCCUAGUGGGAGUAAUCCUGUGGAGGUUCAAGUCCUCUCUCCAGCACAA